UUGAGGAGGAGGUGGGGGUGGGAAGCCUCACCAGCCCUAGCUUUCUUCUCCCGCAGGGCAGUAUUUCCCAAUUAUGCCUCUCUGUCAUCAACACCUCUUCAUGUCUGGACUCAUCAACCUUCCCGACCAGUUCCUGCAUGGCUAAAUCACCAGAAAAAGCAGGACCCCACACCAAGAUCAUCUUCUUAGCCAUGCUCAACA
rfam:Neotoma lepida isolate 417 scaffold_13350, whole genome shotgun sequence.